UGGGGAAUAUUGCACAAUGGGGGAAACCCUGAUGCAGCGACGCCGCGUGAGCGAAGAAGUAUUUCGGUAUGUAAAGCUCUAUCAGCAGGGAAGAAAAUGACGGUACCUGAGUAAGAAGCUCCGGCUAAAUACGUGCCAGCAGCCGCGGUAAUACGUAUGGAGCAAGCGUUAUCCGGAUUUACUGGGUGUAAAGGGAGCGCAGGCGGCCUAGCAAGUCUGAUGUGAAAUACCGGGGCUCAACCCCGGAGCUGCAUUGGAAACUGUGAGGCUGGAGUGUCGGAGAGGCAGGCGGAAUUCCUAGUG
rnacentral:rRNA from 1 species